UUGCUUCUCCGCUAGCCCAGCCACAAAGCAAAGCAGACCACGGAACGGAGAGGCCAAAAACCCCCAAACCCAUAUUACCGCUCUCGCCUCUUCGUCUGCCUGCCAACAACGCCGCGAUGCCGCCGGCCGCCGAUUUUCCGGCCUCCAAGCGUAAGUCGCGCAUAGAAAUCCCCGACAGCGACGACGACGCCGACCGCCGGCGGGAGUCCCGCUCGUCGGUUGGCACGGGCGGUCAAAGAGAGAGGAGCGCUGAGGCGGGGCGUUCCGGUGGUUUGGAGCGCCGCCUGGCGGCGGCGAUCGCUCGACGCCGCACGAGGGCGGCGGCUGCGUCCCGCCCUGAGGUCGUCAACCUUACCGGUGACGACGACGACGACAUCCGCGACGAGGAAGCAGCCGGGCGCCGCGAGGUCCUGGGGCGCGUCAAGGAGGAGCCCCUCGACGACCGGGGCCUUGAUCCCGAGGCUUCGGUCGCGCGAAGAGGUCGAGGCCGCGGCCGCGCGAGGGCGGCGGCUGCGUCCGCGCCCGUUGCCUCGAGGAAGCGCAGACGGGAGGAUGACUCCGGGUCGCGGGGCAGGGGAGGCCGCCGCGCGACGCGCUCCGCCAAGCAGUGCACUCGCGGGCGGCGUGGGGGUUUGCGGUCGUUGCCCUCGCGUCCCUCAUCCAGCGACGAGCCUCUGGGUGAUUCUGGCAGGGCGAAGCGCGUGAGACGCGGCCAUGCCGAGGGCGGGGGCUCGGGUCGGCAUGGCGCAGCCCCGUCGAAGCAGGCCGGCUCGCUCGUUGCAUCAAGUAGUCGUUCGCGGAAGGGGAAGCAAAGAGCAGCGCUACCUCCCAAGCAUCAGUUUCCUUUGGUGUCUCAGUCUGAGUCUAGUUCUGAGUCCGAUGAUGAUGACGACGAUGAAGAGGGUGAUGAUGGGUUGGAUGAUGUGUGUUCGGAAACUUCUGAUGAGAGUUGGCAACCCCGAUAUAACAGUGAGUUUCAGGUUGCGAUGAAGGGCGAGAAGAAGGUGGAGGGCAGACGCAACUCCGUCGAGGAAGAGGCAACGGAGAAGGAACUGGGGGAGAACGGGAACGGCAUUCCUGUCCUGGAAGAGGCAGCGGAGAAGGAACUGAGGGAGAACGGGAACAGCAUUCCUGUCCAGGAAGAGGCAGCGGAGAAGGAACUGGGGGAGAACGGGAACAGCAUUCCUGUCCUGGAAGAGGCAGCGGAGAAGGAACUGAGGGAGAACGGGAAAAGCAUUCCUGUGGAGGAAGAGGCAGCGGAGAAGGAACUGGGGGAGAACGGGAACAGCAUUCAAGACGACCGCUAUGACGGUGAAGACGAAGAAGCGACUGAUGACGCACACGCAGCAGAAGAGGAGGAAGAAGAAGAGGAGGAGGAGGAGGAGGAGGAGGAGGAGGAGGAGGAGGAGGAAGAAGAAGAAGAAGAAGAAGAGGAGGAGGAGGAAGAAGAAGAAGAAGAACAGGAUGAUGAAUCUGACGAGGCAGGGGAAGAACUGCAUCCGGUGCCUAACAGCAAUGCCGAUGCUGGUGGGAAUGCCAGGUCAGGUGGCGAGGGCACGCCGAUCGGCAAGAGGGUUUUUGAAGGCUUAUGUUUGGUGGACAAUGCAGACAACGCUGUUACCACCAAAAGUAUCAGGCAGCGCACACGGUCAAAUUUUAAGGACCGGGCAUGCUUAGACAAGAAGCUGCUCGGACAAGGAACUUGCAGCAAGCCGUACUGCAUCGAUACAGAGUCGGAAGAGGACGUGCCGCCUCCGCCGCAGCCACAGCCGUCCAGUGCAGAGUGUGAAGACGAUGGCAGCGGCGGUGAUGACAGAAUGCCGGCGAAGAGGAGACGGGGCAAGGAACAGAUCACCGACAGCGAUGACACUCAGAAUGAUAGCGAGGACUCCGAUGAGAAUAGAACACUUGCAAGGAAUGCCAGGAAGGGAUCUAGUUCAAGGAGGCCAAAGAAUGGAGCGUCCUACCAGCAGAAUGUCAAGGAGGGUUCCAGAAAUUAUGAUAGUCCUUCUAACCCACGGCACGUCAAGAAUUAUGCUGCAAAUGCAGGGAAUCCCACGGAUAGAUUCAAUAUGCAGAGUGGCGACAUAUGCUUCAACACAAAUACUUUGCUUCCUCAGAGGAUGAAGCAUGGACGGGUGUGGACGAAGCAAGACACAGACAAUCUACUCAACUCCUUGCUUGAUGAAAUAGAAAACGGCUCAGCUCCUGCACAAGCACAGAACGAAGACAGGUUACCUCUGGUGUUCUCAUUCGGGGAUGAAGAUCAAGUUGAAGAACAAUCAGACCAUAACAAGCUUCAGGACGAACUGUGGGCUGAAAUGGAUUUUUGCAUGGAGUCCACCAAUGUUUGCCCUCAAAGCUGUGAGGAGGGCGAAAAGAGCAAUAAUGGGCAAGAAAAACCUGGGGACAAAGCAACUUUGUGCAGUCAAGGGAAGCAUGACCUCGUUACUGAUGAGCAAAUUGGAGUUUGGUGCAGGCGCUGCAACUUCAUCCAACUUGAAAUCAGACACGUAGUGGCAGAUAUGGGGAAAGUGUCGACUGAAAGGGAACUGAGGGCAGAUCGCCAGCUAGACUUGAGUAUCAAUAAUUUGCUAACAUCAAUGGGGUAUGAAGGAACAUGCAAAAUUGUUGAUCAUAAAGCUGGCUCGGUCUGGGACCUUAUUCCUGGGGUCAAGGAAGGCUUGUUCACAUACCAGGCGGCAGCCGUUGAAUUUAUGUGGAAGAAUCUGGCAGGGGGUACUAAGAUUCAAGACGUGAAGAACAACAUCAACAGUGAUGAUCUGAGAGGCUGUUGGAUUUCCCACGCCCCAGGGACGGGGAAGACCCGAUCAACAAUCGCAUUUCUUCAAUCUUACCGCGUGCUUUUCCCGCGGUCUUGUGUGCUGAUCAUCGCUCCCAAGGCGAUGCUGGCCACAUGGCAAGAUGAGAUCGGAAAAUGGAACGCCAAGGUACCUAUUCACGUGUAUAGUUCCUGCGAUAUCAACUGGGGUGGAGAUGAGACUAUUAAGAGAAUAGUUGAUAAUGAUGAAGAUUUUGCCCAGAGGCUGUCCGUAAAUAAAUUCGGCCCGAAAGUUAGGAAAGUGCUGAAGGUGAGAUCCUGGUGCGAGGGCAGUUCCGUUCUCGGUAUGAGUUACGAGAUGUUCUCGAAGCUUGCCAAACAAAACAGCAAUGAUGAAACGAUGCGAAAGCUGCUUCUUGAAAAGACCGAUUUACUGAUCCUUGAUGAAGGACACAAGCCAAGGAACAAGAAAAGCAUUAUCUGGAAGGUUCUUGCAGAAGUCCGUACCAAAAAACGAAUUAUUCUAUCAGGGACUCCGUUCCAGAACAACUUUGAAGAGCUGUAUAACGUCCUGUGCCUUCUACAAGGAACUUGUGAUGCUGAUAGUAAGCUUCUGGGGAAGGAUGAAGACAAGGGUUUCUGGACUUCUAUGUCAGUAGACAACAUCACAGAUGAAAGGGUCAAUGAGAUCCGGGACAAAUUGAAGCCUUUUUUGCACAUCUAUAACGGUGAAUUUCUUCAGAAAUCCCUCCCGGGAUUGAGGGAAUCUGUUGUGAUUCUGAACCCUUUUCCUCACCAGAAGAAAAUCAUCAAAAUGCUGGAGGACAGUCGCACGAAAAGUGGCACAAAUGGCCAUCUUGAUUUCGAAUACAAGAUAUCCCUUGCGUCGGUGCACCCGUCCCUCAUCACUAGCACGCAAAAAUUGCCAUACCAAUUAACAUCUGUUAUGGACAAACCUUUAUUGGAGAGCUUACGGCUGAAUCCAUGUGAAGGAGUUAAGACAAAGUUUGUUUUCGAGAUUGUCCGUCUAUGUCAACCUCUAAAAGAGCGGGUGCUUGUGUUCAGCCAAUAUCUUCAACCAUUGGACUUGAUCAUGCAACAGCUGAGGAGUGAGUUCCUUUGGACUAAAGACAAAGAGAUCCUGAGUAUGAGCGGAGACGACGACGCUGAAACUCGCCAAAAGUUGAUGAAUGACUUCAAUAACAUGGAGAGUGAGGCCAAGGUCAUGCUUGCAUCGACCAAAGCAUGUGGGGAAGGCAUAACCCUUAUUGGAGCAUCACGAGUGGUGCUCCUUGACGUCGUGUGGAAUCCUUCUGUAGGAAGGCAGGCAAUCGGCCGGGCAUUUAGAAUAGGCCAAAAAAAGAUUGUUCAUACAUACAAUCUAAUCGCAGAAGGAACACAAGAGAAGAGCAAAUAUGACAGGCAAGCUCAAAAGGAUCAUAUGUCGAAAUUGUUGUUUUCAAAUGAGACGCAACCUGCAGAGUGCAGCAAGUCACCAGAAUUUAUUGUUUCCAGUGACAAGAUUUUGGAAAAAAUGACUGAAGAUACAAAUCUGAAAACAAUGUUCGCGAAUAUUCUCUAAACUUAUAGAUCUCUGGCCAAGUCAUUUGCACUGUGAUAUUGCUAGGAAGUAGUGGAGGCCACCAUAAGAUGAAUUGUUGCAGUUUGGAUGUGGCAACUGUGUAGGUACCUGAUGUGAACAAAAAAUGCAUGUCUGUAUCUUCAACAGGAGGGAGAUGGAACACCCUGCAAUGCAUCAGAUCAUACUAGCAACAUGUUGUUGUUGCCUUCUCUCUUUCUUUUUUGCGGGGAAAUUGUUGUUGCCUUCUUACUUUGGCAAGUAGGCAGAAUCACUUUAGAUAGAAAGGGAAUUCAAACUGGAGUUUAAACCCCUUCCAAUCCGAAGGGAUGAUGACCCCGAUUCCCUACUGAACUUGUAUACUGCACUAUGACAUGAUCUGUUCCUAAACCUGAACAUGGGUUUGUUAUCUGUAUUGCUCAUCCAUUACCAAUUCGCAGUUGCUUGCUUGCUAA